rnacentral:rRNA from 1 species
UACGUAGGGUGCGAGCGUUAAUCGGAAUUACUGGGCAUAAAGCGUGCGCAGGCGGUUAUUUAAGUCAGGUGUGAAAGCCCUGGGCUUAACCUAGGAAUUGCGCUUGAGACUGGAUAGCUUGGAGUGCGGCAGAGGGAGGUGGAAUUCCACGUGUAGCAGUGAAAUGCGUAGAGAUGUGGAGGAACACCGAUGGCGAAGGCAGCCUCCUGGGCCAGCACUGACGCUCAUGCACGAAAGCGUGGGGAGCAAACAGG